UCCGGUUUGUCACCGGCAGUCUCGUAUGAGUCCCCAACUAAAUGCUGGCAACAUACGACGAGGGUUGCGCUCGUUGCGGGACUUAACCCAACAUCUCACGACACGAGCUGACGACAGCCAUGCACCACCUGUGAUCCUGCCCCGAAGGGAAGCCGUGUUUCCACGGCGGUCAGGAACAUGUCAAGCCCAGGUAAGGUUCUUGGCGUUGCGUCCAAUUAAACCACAUGCUCCGCUGCUUGUGCGGGCCCCCGUCAAUUCCUUUGAGUUUCAGCCUUGCGGCCGUACUCCCCAGGCGGGGCACUUAAUGCGUUAGCGCCGGCACCCAGGGGGUCGCUCCCCCAGGCACCUAGUGCCCAUCGUUUACGGCGUGGACUAC
rnacentral:misc_RNA from 1 species